rnacentral:rRNA from 1 species
AUUGAACGCUGGCGGCAGGCUUAACACAUGCAAGUCGAGCGGGGUGAUGGUGCUUGCACUAUCACUUAGCGGCGGACGGGUGAGUAAUGCUUAGGAAUCUGCAUAUUAGUGGGGGACAACAUCUAGAAAGGGAUGCUAAUACCGAAUACGCCCGACGGGGGAAAGCAGGAGAUAUUAGGACCUUGCGCUAAUAGAUGAGCCCAAGUCGGAUUGGCUAGUUGGUGGGGUAAAGGCCUACCAAGGUGAGGAUCUGUAGCGGGUCUGAGAGGAUGAUCCGCCACACUGGGACUGAGACACGGCCCAGACUCCUACGGGAGGCAGCAGUGGGGAAUAUUGGACAAUGGGCGGAAGCCUGAUCCAGCCAUGCCGCGUGUGUGAAGAAGGCCUUUUGGUUGUAAAGCACUUUAAGCGAGGAGGAGGCUACUUAGAUUAAUACUCUGGGAUAGUGGACGUUACUCGCAGAAUAAGCACCGGCUAACUCUGUGCCAGCCGCCGCAGUAAUAC